CCCCCUCCUCUGGGGCAUGCUAAAAUCCACGUGGACGCGGCAGUAUCCAAGACACAUAACUGUGGCGCCGCGGCGGCGGUGUGCAGGAGCAGCGAUGGAAACUUCAUGGGCAGUUCAGCGUUGGUGAUACAUGGGAUAACUGAUGCUGCAACACUAGAAGCUAUUACAUGCAGAGAAGGUCUAGCACUUGCGCAAGAUUUACUACUGAAUGAUUUUCUCAUAGCAUCGGACUCCAAGCAAGUAGUUAAUGAUAUCAAGACAGCAAGCAAUGGAAGAUACAGAGCAAUCAUAUCGGAGAUCAAGAAUCUUUUAUUAGUCUUCAAUUGUAAUAUUACUUUCGAAGGCAGAGCCUCUAAUAGCGAUGCCGAUAGGUUAGCCAAGUUUGCACAUUCUUUGGAUCGGGGUAGGCACUUGUCGUUUUUGGAACCCCGUGAUCCUUUUUGUAUCCCACUUAAUGUGGCCUAUGAGCAAUAA
rnacentral:rRNA from 1 species